rnacentral:rRNA from 1 species
GAAUAUUGGACAAUGGGGGCAACCCUGAUCCAGCGAUGCCGCGUGAGUGAAGAAGGCCUUCGGGUCGUAAAGCUCUUUAGGUUGGGAAGAAGGUUAUGGGGUGAAUAGCCCUGUAAUUUGACGGUACCGACAGAAUAAGCACCGGCAAACUCUGUGCCAGCAGCCGCGGUAAUACAGAGGGUGCAAGCGUUAAUCGGAAUUACUGGGCGUAAAGGGCGCGUAGGCGGUGAGAUGUGUGUGAUGUGAAAGCCCUGGGCUUAACCUAGGAAGUGCAUCGCAAACUGUCUUGCUGGAGUAUAUGAGAGGGUGGCGGAAUUUCCGGUGUAGCGGUGAAAUGCGUAGAGAUCGGAAGGAACGUCGAUGGCGAAGGCAGCCACCUGGCAUAAUACUGACGCUGAGGCGCGAAAGCGUGGGGAGCGAAC